CUAAGCCCAGCCUAGCCGCUCGAUUGCCCCGUAAUUCACGGAGUAGUUGGACCUUGCACGAGGGAAUGGAUUUAAUUGAUGGAGUCCAGCUGAUAAAGGACGUGAACAGGAUGUCCUAUCGCUGGAUGUUUACUGUCCGAAUUGCAAGGAUCUGGGAAUACAUGAGUACAGACCCUAUCGAAUUCUAUAGCUCUAUUCAUUGGCACACCAGUUGAUCAAUUUUGAGAUGGCACAUCAACAUUAUGUACCUGAAGCGAUCGCUACAGAAGAAAGACCUAGCAAGCGAUAACGGCGCCACGAGGAUUCGCUGCCAUGAGGAGGACCCCGACCUGUAUGAUGGCCACCGGAAGGUCACACACUUCUUUGGCUCGCUGCUCGCUCAGAUGGCUCCAUUGACGACUUCUCUAAGGUGUAUUUGUUGGGUUCCUCUUGGCGUGUUGAACAAAAAUUGGCGUUCAGCACUGCUAUUUAAAGAUGGUUUGAUCAGUACUAGGGAAAACCCAUAGAUGGAAGGAAAUUAUUGUAGGUAUCUAAGAAUGCUGAUGAUUACACUCGGAGCAAGCCUUGUCGCGGCGCUGCAAGUGUUCCCCCCUCCUCCCCAAGGGCAAGGUGAAGGAAGGUGCCUGUGUGGUUCUUCUGCAGCUUGCAGCGAGGAUUGCUGUGUCAACCUACACAAGAAUGCCAAGAAGUCCUUCUCGGAGACGUAAGCCACGGCGCAUGUUUCUGCCAUGAUUUCCUUUGGUUGUAUUUCGUGGAUUUAGGUGUUAAAAAAUUAUGGGUUGUGGAUGCAGGAUUAAGGACAUGUACCUGCACUACAACGAGAGAUCUGGGCUGCUUAUUUGUGGCUUCCAAACUUGAAAUGUUUGUUAGGAAGUUAGUUUAAUUUUUUGUUGUGGAUUCACAGCUUCUCACACGUACCAUCCUCUUAGACCUUUAUAUUUCCAAAUAAACUAAAUGAAGAUAUGAUGGUGUGAUCUCAAUAGUACAA